rnacentral:tRNA from 1 species
GAGGGAAUAGCUCAGUGGUAGAGUGUGUGCUUAGCAUGCAUGGGGUCCUGGGGUUCAAUCCCCAGGACCCCCA